AUUGAACGCUGGCGGCAUGCUUUACACAUGCAAGUCGAGCGAGUGGCGCAAGGGUGAGUAACAUAUGGGAACGUACCGAGGAAUGGGGGAUAACUAGUAGACAGUUUAGCUAAUACCGCAUAUUAUGCGAACGGCCUAUAUGUGUUUCUCUAGUUGGUGGGGGAAAGGCAUACCAAGGAGACGAUCAGUAGGGGGUCUGAGAGGAUGAACCGCCACACGGGGACUGAGACACGGCCCAGACUCCUACGGGAGGCAGCAGUGGGGAAUUUUGGACAAUGGGCGCAAGCCUGAUCCAGCCAUGCCGCGUGUAUGAAGAAGGCCCUAGGGUUGUAAAGUACUUUUGGCAGGGAAGCGUUACCGGCAGAAGAAGCACCGGCUAACUACGUGCCAGCCGCCGCGGUAAUUC
rnacentral:rRNA from 1 species